UAGCAUGCGUCCGUACUAUCUGCCCCGGGAAUUCUCGCAUGUUAUCGCGAUAACAGUGUAUGUCCCCCCCUCAGCUAAUGCCGAGGCAGCCUGUGAGUCUCUUCACUCUGUGGUUAGCAGACUGCAAACGCAAUCCCCGAGAGCCUUCUUUAUAAUAUCUGGGGACUUUAAUCAUGCCUCACUGGACUCUUCGAUGCCUACCUUCACCCAGUAUGUGACCUGCCCGACCAGGGAAAAUAAAACACUGGACCUACUGUAUGCCAAUGCUGAAAAGGCAUAUAGUUCAUCACCUUUCCCUCCUCUGGGCAGAUCUGAUCACAACUUGGUGUAUCUUGCUCCUGUGUAUGAGCCUUUGGUGCGAAGGGAGCCACCAGCCACCCGUAUAAUACAGAGAUGUUCGGAGGAGAGUGAGGAGGUCCUUAAGGACUGUUUUGAGACAACUGUGUGGGGGGUGUUCUGUGAAGAUCAUGGAGAUGACAUCGACAGCCUCACUGAAUGCAUUACUGACUAUAUUAAUUUUUGUGUGGAUAGCAUUAUCCCUAUCAGGACUGUACGGUGUUUCUCUAAUAACAAACCCUGGAUUACUCCUGAAAUAAAAGAAGCCCUCAAGCAGAAGAAGCGGGCCUUCAAACUCAGAGACAAAGAGGAGUUGAAAAGAGUGCAGAGAGAACUGAGGAGACUGAUAAGGAGUGGGAAGGACACCUACAGGCAGAGGAUGGAGAACCAGCUUCAGCAAAGCAAUGUUGGUGAAGUCUGGAGAGGCCUUAGAACCAUCUCAGGUCAUAAACAUCAGAACUCUCUGCCUGUGAGGGAUGUGAGGUGGGCUAAUGAACUGAAUCAAUUCUUUAAUAGAUUUGACUCGGCUACGAGGCAGACCUCAACGUCGGCUGCUGACUCUCCCACCCUCUCUACCACUGUUUCGCCUCUGACCUCUCACCCCUCCUCACCUUCACUAACAGUAUCUAGUACACACUUUACGCAAGGCCCCGGCUGGUCCCUCUCUACCACACAGGUGAGGGGGGAAAUGAGGAGGAUAAAUGGCAGGAAGGCAGCGGGUCCAGAUGGUAUCAGCGCAUGGGUGGUCAGGUCCUGCGCGGACCAACUGUGUGAGGUAAUCGGGCACCUUUUCAACCUGAGCCUGAGGCUGGGAAGAGUCCCAAAACUCUGGAAAACAUCUUGUGUAGUUCCGGCGCCAAAGACUUCACGCCCCAAGGAUUUUAACAGCUACAGGCCGGUGGCUCUAACAUCCCAACUGAUGAAGACUCUGGAGCGGUUGGUUCUGGUUCGGCACCUACUGGGCUCUUCACUGGACCCGCUUCAGUUUGCCUAUCAAACUGGCAUUGGUGCUGAUGAUGCGGUCAUCUACCUCCUGCAUCGCUCGCUCGCUCACCUGGAGACUGUUGGGAGUACUGUGAGGAUCAUGUUUUUUGACUUCUCCAGUGCCUUCAAUACCAUUCUUCCCUCGGUUCUGAAGGACAAACUGGUGAACGCUGGAGUGGAUCAUCACUUCGCUACCUGGAUUCUGGACUACCUUUCUGACCGACCACAGUAUGUGAGGACUCAGGGCUGUGUGUCGGAUAGUGUCNNNNNNNNNNNNNNNNNNNNNNNNNNNNNN
ensembl:lncRNA